rnacentral:rRNA from 1 species
GCGGCCGCGAAUCCACUAGUGAUUUCUGGUUGAUCCUGGCGGAGGACGAGAUGACAUUGCCAAAGCAAUCGUAGGUGUAGCGGGCAACGAGCGAGACCCAA